CCGUUUGUGAGAGAAAACCUGGUAUCUGGCUUCUGACGUUUCAGUACAAUCUUCUAUUGUGCAUCUGGAUGACAUCACUGUUGUGUCCUUUGCAGAGAUGUGCAUACAGGGCCCUAACUGUCCAGGAGCUGCUACGGACAGAGCCCGGUAAUCCCGACGACUUAGUGGAUCCUGUGCCUCCCAAGGGUGGCGCCCACGGUGACUGCACACUUGUCACAGACUGGCAGGCCAUUUGUCUGCUGCAGCCCACCAAAUCCCACAGAUCCUUUUGGAUCCUUUGCAGCAGGCUUUUCAUACCUUGAGUCUUACUUAAUGUUCACAUGAAAAAGCAACUGCUGUUUGCUGUGCUCAUAAAAGUCUUGUUAGAAAUUAACACCUUGUGUGAAUAAAAACAUCAAGUAAGUA